rnacentral:rRNA from 1 species
CCUACGGGGUGCAGCAGUGAGGAAUAUUGGUCAAUGGGCGCGAGCCUGAACCAGCCAAGUCGCGUGAGGGAUGAAGGUUCUAUGGAUCGUAAACCUCUUUUAUAAGGGAAUAAAGUGUGGGACGUGUCCUAUUUUGUAUGUACCUUAUGAAUAAGGAUAGGAUAACUCCGUGCCAGCAGCCGCGGUAAUACGGAGGAUCCGAGCGUUCUCCGGAGUUAUUGGGUUUAAAGGGUGCGUAGGCGGCCUUUUAAUUAAGCGGUGAAAGUCUGUGUCGCAACCAUAGAAUUGCCGUUGAAACUGGGGGGCUUGAGUAUGUUUGAGGCAGGCGGAAUGCGUGGUGUAGCGGUGAAAUGCUUAGAUAUCACGCAGAACCCCGAUUGCGAAGGCAGCCUGCCAAGCCAUGACUGACGCUGAUGCACGAAAGCGUGGGGAUCAAACAGGAUUAGAUACCCCUGUAGUC